ensembl:lncRNA
CACCACAAGAACUGGAGACUGAACGAGAACAAACAGAUGAGGGAAAAGAAACGGAGACUGAAGAAGGUCAACAACCAGAUGAGGGAAAAGAAAUGGAGACUGAAGGAGAACCACAAGAGGAAAAAGAACCGGAGACUGAAGGAGAACAAUCACAAGAGGAAAAAGAACCGGAGGCUGGAGGAGAACAACCACAAGAGGAAAAAGAACCGGAGACUGGAGGAGAACAACCAGAUGAGGAAAAAGAACCGGAGACUGAAGGAGAACCACAAGAGGGAAAAGAAACGGAGGCUGAAGGAGAACCACAAGAGGAAAAAGAACCAGAGACUGAAGGAGAACAACAAACAGAAGAGGGAAAAGAACCGGGUACUGAAGGAGAACCACAAGAGGAAAAAGAACCGGAGACUGAAGGAGAACCACAAGAGGAAAAAGAUCCACAAGAGGAAAAAGAACCGGAGACUGAAGGAGAACCACAAGAGGAAAAAGAACCGGAGACUGAAGGAGAACAACAGGAGGAAAAAGAACCGGAGGCUGAAGGAGAACAACCACAAGAGGAAAAAGAGCCGGAGACUGAAGGAGAACCACAAGAACCGGAGACUGAAGGAGAACCACAAGAUGAGGAAAUAGAACCGGAGGCUGAAGGAGAACAACCACAAGAGGAAAAAGAGCUGGAGACUGAAGGAGAACCACAAGAACCGGAGACUGAAGGAGAACCACAAGAACCGGAGACUGAAGGAGAACCACAAGAUGAGGAAAAAGAACCGGAGGCUGAAGGAGAACCACAAGAGGAAAAAGAACCGGAGGCUGAAGGAGAACCACAAGAGGAAAAAGAACCGGAGACUGAAGGAGAACCACAAGAGGAAAAAGAGCCGGAGACUGAAAGAGAACCACAGGAGACUGAAAGAGAACCACAAGAUGAGGAAAAAGAAACGGAGACUGAAGGAGAACCACAAGAGGAAAAAGAACCACAAGAGGAAAAAGAAUCGGAGACUGAAGGAGAACAACAAGAGGAAAAAGAACCACAAGAGGAAAAAGAAUCGGAGACUGAAGGAGAACCACAAGAACCGGAGACUGAAGGAGAACCACAAGAACCGGAGACUGAAGAAGAACCACAAAAGGAAAAAGAACCAGAGACUGAAGAGGGACAACAAACAGAAGAGGGAAAAGAACCGGGUACUGAAGGAGAACCACAAGAGGGAAAAGAACCGGGUACUGAAGGAGAACCACAAGAACCGGAGUCUGAAGGAGAACAGCCACAAGAGGAAAAAGAACCGGAAACUGGAGAACCACAAGAGGAAAAAGAGCCGGAGACUGGAGGAGAACAACCAGAUGAGGGAACAGAAACGGAGACUGAAGGAGCACCACAAGAACUGGAGACUGAACGAGAACAAACAGAUGAGGGAAAAGAAACGGAGACUGAAGAAGGUCAACAACCAGAUGAGGGAAAAGAAACGGAGACUGAAGGAGAACCACAAGAGGAAAAAGAACCGGAGACUGAAGGAGAACAAUCACAAGAGGAAAAAGAACCGGAGGCUGGAGGAGAACAACCACAAGAGGAAAAAGAACCGGAGGCUGGAGGAGAACAACCACAAGAGGAAAAAGAACCGGAGACUGGAGGAGAACAACCAGAUGAGGAAAAAGAACCGGAGACUGAAGGAGAACCACAAGAGGGAAAAGAAACGGAGGCUGAAGGAGAACCACAAGAGGAAAAAGAACCAGA